CAGAUCAGCAUGCUGCGGUGAAUACGUUCCCGGGCCUUGUACACACCGCCCGUCACACCAUGGGAGUCGGUAACACCCGAAGCCUGUAGUCUAACCGCAAGGAGGACGCAGUCGAAGGUGGGAUUGAUGACUGGGUGAAGUCGUAACAAGGUAUC
rnacentral:rRNA from 1 species